CGAAUACCGCAUGUGGUAUCACGAUAGUCAGUACGUGGGGGCUAAGCUCCAUGUACGCAAGGGGAACAGCCCAGACCGUCAGCUAAGGUCCCUAAGUUCUUACUCAGUGUAAAAGGUAGUGUUUCGCCAUAGACAGGUAGGAGGUUGGCUUAGAGGUAGCCACCCUUUAAAGAGUGUGUAACAACUCACUACUCGACGGCGAGAUGCGCCGAAAAUGUAUCGGGGCUUAAGUAAGACACCGAAGCUACGGGUUCGCUGACUUCACAGAGGGGAUAAUUAAUCCUUUCAAAUUUUAUGGGGCGUUAUGUAUGGAGCACGUCGCGGCUGAUUGCCGGUCAAACUCUCGUACACGAUGCGCAGUAUGUGCUUCGCAAAAACGUCCCACCAGUUUUGGGGGCCUUUCGUCUAAUUGGUAAAGACGCCGGGUCCGAAGCCCGGGAAUGCGGGUUCAAGUCCUGCGGGGCCCUCCAAAACAAAAUACUAUAAUCAGGUGGCGUCUUUUGUAGAUGCCCCCUCUGUGAAGUCAGUGAGCGGUAGGAGAGCGUUCGUAUCUAGCAUUGAAGCGGUAGUCGCGAGACACCGUGGAGCGUUACGAAGUGAGAAUGUUGGGAUGAGUAACCACAAUUCUAAUGAGAAAUUGGAACCCUGAAAAUCCAAGGUUUCCGUGGCACUGGCAAUCAACCACGGGUUAGGCGGCCCUAAGCGGAUGCCGAAAGGCGAACGCGAUGGACAGCAGGUUAAUAUUCCUGCUCAAGCCUAUGAUCAUAUCGAGGGGACGAAGGACACAGGUGUCCGUGCCUUACUGGUUUGGCAUCGUUUGGCGCAAGACUUCGCAGCAAUGCGAUUUCGGCGCAGGACGGAACUUGGGAGUUUCUCCCAGGAACGGACAUGAAGAGCCUUCCGAGAAAAGCCUCGUAAAGCGAUCAUAGGUUUUCCGUACCGGAAACCGACACAGGUGGAUAGGGCGAGUAGCCCAAAGGGAACGGAUGAGACACCGCUAAGGAACUCGGCAAAAAAGCGGCCGUAAGUUAGCGAUAAGGCCUGCCUGUCACCGCAAGGUGAUGGGCCGCAGCGAAAGUAUCUCUGGCGACUGUUUACCAAAAACACAGCUCCCUGCGAACUCGUAAGAGGAUGUAUAGGGGGUGACACCUGACCGAUGCGAGAAGGUCAAAACUGCCGGUAAAGCGGGAGCAAUCCCGUGUAGCUGAGUGGUCGAAGCCCUCGUCAAUGUCAGCGAUAACUAUAAUCGUUCUAAGGUAGCGCAAUUCCUUUUCGGGUAAGUUCCGAAGCGCACGAAAGGUGUAACGAUCAGAGAACUGUCUCGGCGGUGCGUCCGGUGAAAAUGCGAUUCCAGUGAAGACGCUGGAUACCUGCAGCGGGACGAAAAGACCCCGGAAGCUUUACUGCAGCCUGGUAUUGGUAAUAGGGGGUUACUGCGUAGUGUAGUGGGGAGCCUUUGAAGCCGUCCUUUUGGGGAUGGUGGAGGCGACAAUGAAACACCCAUCUGUAAUUCUUUAUUAUCUAACCGCGAGGGAACCAUACCGGAAACCCUUGCGAGACAGUGCUUGGUAGGCAGUUUAAAUGGGGCGUUUUCCUCCAAAAAAGUAACGGAGGAGUUUAUUAAGGUCGGCUAGUGGCGGAUGGAAAUCGCCAUCGUCGUGUAAACGCAUAAGCCGGCUUGACUGCAAGACCCACAAGUCGCGCAGGCACGAAAGUGGAAGUUAGUGACCCGACGGCACUUUAUAGAAAGGCCGGAGACACCGGAUAAAAGCUACUCCGGGGAUAACAGGCUGGUGAGGCCCGAGCGUCCAUAGCGACGGCCUCGCUCGGCACCUCGAUGUCGGCUCGCCUUAGCGCGGGGGUGAAGAAGCUCCCAAGCGUUUGGCUGUUCGCCAAUUAAAAGGGCACGUGAGCUGGGUUCAGACCGUCAAGAAGCGGAAAAUAUUUUGGCUUUUUGACGGUCUGGGUCCCGAGGUAAUGACAUCAGUCACGGCGGCCGUAUGAAGUAAUUCAUACGGACCAUACCAACUAAUAUCGGUGAAACCCUAGUUGAAAAUCAGGGCAACACCGAGGGAAUGAUUUUUUGACCAUCUGUUUUGAAACAGAAAAGAAAUCGGCCCGUAGAGACUACAUGUUGGUCUCCCUUAUAAGUUUUUCAAACUUAUCAGGGAUGAAGAUAUAGUCCAAUGCGCGCAGUAAUGCGCGAGAAGCAUGCGUGAGACAGGUCGGUCUCUCUCUGCUGCAGGCGUGUAUGUGUUUGAGGGGAGUUGGCUCUAGUACGAGAGGACCGAGCUGAACAUACCUCUGGUGUACCGGCUUUGCCACCAGGUGAACUGCCGGGUAGCUAUGUGUGGAAGGGAUAAGCGCUGAAAGCAUCUAAGCGCGAAGCCCACCCCAAGAUUAGACACAGGCCUCCUCGGAGACUACGAGGUCC
rnacentral:rRNA from 1 species